UGGGGAAUAUUGGACAAUGGGCGAAAGCCUGAUCCAGCAAUGCCGCGUGAGUGAUGAAGGCCUUAGGGUUGUAAAGCUCUUUUACCCGGGAAGAUAAUGACGGUACCGGGAGAAUAAGCCCCGGCUAACUCCGUGCCAGCAGCCGCGGUAAUACGGAGGGGGCUAGCGUUGUUCGGAAUUACUGGGCGUAAAGCGCACGUAGGCGGUUGCUCAAGUCAGAGGUGAAAGCCUGGAGCUCAACUCCAGAACUGCCUUUGAAACUAGGCGACUUGAAUCAUGGAGAGGCGGGUGGAAUUCCGAGUGUAGAGGUGAAAUUCGUAGAUAUUCGGAAGAACACCAGUGGCGAAGGCGGCCCGCUGGACAUGUAUUGACGCUGAGGUGCGAAAGCGUGGGGAGCAAA
rnacentral:rRNA from 1 species